UUCGCAAUGCCCGAAAGGGUGACGAAGCGACGCCGCGUGUGGGAAGAAGGCCUUCGGGUUGUAAACCGCUGUCGGGAGUUAAGAAGUGCAAGGGUGUUAAUAGCAUCUUUGCUUGACUAAGGCUCCGGAGGAAGCCACGGCUAACUCUGUGCCAGCAGCCGCGGUAAUACAGAGGCGGCAAGCGUUGUUCGGUAUUAUUGGGCGUAAAGAGCACGUAGGCGGCCUUGCAAGUCAGUUGUGAAAGCCUUCCGCUCAACGGAAGAAUGCCAGCUGAUACUACAGGGCUUGAGUACGGGAGGGGAGAGUGGAACUUCUGGUGGAGCGGUGAGAUGCGUAGAUAUCAGAAGGAACGCCGGCGGCGAAAGCGACUCUCUGGCCCGAAACUGACGCUGAGUGUGCGAAAGCUAGGGGAGCAAACGGGAUUAGAUACCCCGGUAGUCCUAGCCGUAAACGAUGGGCACUAAGUAGAGGGGUUUU
rnacentral:rRNA from 1 species